UACAGAGGUGCCAAGCGUUAGGCGGAAUCACUGGGCUUAAAGCGCGUGUAGGCGGGCCGGCACGUCGGUCGCUGAAAUCCCCCGGCUCAACCGGGGAAGGGGCGCCGAUACGACCGGCCUGGAGGGACGUAGGGGGGGCUGGAACUUCCGGUGGAGCGGUGAAAUGCGUUGAGAUCGGAAGGAACGCCCGUGGCGAAAGCGAGCCCCUGGACGUCUACUGACGCUGAGACGCGAAAGCCAGGGGAGCGAACGGG
rnacentral:rRNA from 1 species